UCAUGUGCUGAAGGGAGAUAGGCUAACUGCCAGCACUGCACUCUCUUGUUGGUGCUAAGGGCCAUUCUCAUCCCACUUUCACCAUCCUUCCCUUCUACCAAACCGCAAGCGGGGGUGGAGCUAGGAACUGGUCUAACUCACUUGAAGUCAGAGCAGCUUGUUUACAGGCUGCUCGGUGGCACUGACUCAGCUUCUGGAGUGCUGCCUGUGCGCCAGCAGAGCAUGAAUUGAAGUGGGAGAGUGAGAAGUAAGGGUGAGACAGAUAUUAACUGUCCCAAAGAAGAUAUGCAGUAGAAAUUCCAGUGCCAAGCUUGACUAAAAGUGUCUUGGAGAUGCAGUGAAGUUAAAUGGGAACAUUCUCUGCUGGAAGAGUCUCUGCACCUUGAAGUCUUUAAACCAUGAUAUGAGGACUUCAAUGGCUCAGAC